AAGCGGCGUUUACUCGUCCGGAUGGAAGCGGAACGGCCGACGACCCCGGGCGGAGCGGAUUAUCAGGCGCGGGGAGCACGGUUUUCACAGGGCGUCUGAACGCUCCUUACGAAGGAAAGAUUGUUGUCCUGUUUUCAUUUGGUCCUUUUUAAAAAAAUUUAAUUUCGAACAGAGCAGGGAGAAAGGAAGCGACUUCCAGAGCCGCCGCUGGGAGCGGGUUCUGUGGGAAUCCGCGCUGCGUGCCCGGCAGGGCUGGGCUCCGAGGAGCGCUGGUUGUACAAAGGCAGAGUUAAAAGGACGGGGUCGGUUUCCACACGAACCCUAACGCUUCCCCCGGGGGCAGCUUCCAACCCUUCCACCGGCACCAAAGCGCCUGGACGUUUCCUUUACCACAGCCCCCUGCCACAGGGACAACACACCGGGUUUUCCCACCGAAGGACACCCAGGUGUGCUGGGCUGCCAGCACUGGAGCAGCAUCAGCACGGCACGCUGAGCUCGCUGCGAUGCUCGUGGGCCGCCUGCUUCAACCCUCCCCAUCCGCAGGCUGAGCCGAGCGCAGCAGGCUCAGGGCCCGCGCUGACCGGGUUCCAGCGGGACUGAGAACAGGCCGCUAACAACUUCAAAACGAUUUUAUUUCUUAAAUUGGCGUUGUACAAUUUAAAGCCAAAAAAAAAAAAAAAAAAA